rnacentral:lncRNA from 1 species
GCCGUUACGCGGGGAAGAAGGCGGUGAUAGUGCGAACCUUCGAUGACGGCACGCGCGAGCGCCCCUACGGUCACUGUUUGGUUGCAGGAAUAAAGAAGUAUCCCAGCAAGGUCAUAAAGAAGGACUCGGCCAAGAAGACCGCCAAGAAGUCGCGCGUGAAGGCCUUCAUCAAGCUCGUCAAUUACCAGCACUUGAUGCCCACUCGCUACACGCUCGACGUGGACCUCAAGGACGCCGUCAAUCCCGAUGUCCUCCACGCCAAGGAUAAGAAGGUCACCGCCCUAAAGGAGACCAAGAAGCGCCUUGAGGAACGCUUCAAAACCGGCAAGAACCGGUGGUUCUUUACCAAGCUCAGGUUCUGAGCUAAAUUGUACGUUUUUGUUUUCAACCGUUUUCAUUGGAUCUCGCUUUGUCGUUUUAAUUAUUGCUUUAUAAUGCUAUUUUGAGUUUAGAUUUUCAAACUGUUAUUUAAAUUUUGGCUCAAUUGGAUGUUUAAUGUGCUUGUGGAGAUUAUAAAUGAAGUUUUUAGGGAUUAUAGAUUGAAUGCCUUUGGUUUGAAUGUGAUGAAUUUGCGAUUUGCCUG